UUGUGUCCUGCAGUCUGCAAAACUGCCUCCCCUGAGUGGGGUGAGGAGCUACUGAAAUACUGAAAUCAUUGAAACUAGCAGAAGCCACAGCUCAUGGUGCUGGGAGAAAACUGGGAAGGACGGAGAGGUGAAGAGGCUAUAAAGGCCCAGUCAUGAAGGCGACCAUGGGCCAGGAUGUCCUGAAGUCGCAAAGCUGACCAAUGCUGAGUGCCCUAAAAGCUGCCACUCCUGUGCACAUCUUUUCUUUCAAUGGACAAAGUCUUCCCCUGCUCUUAUGUGCCUGGCCUGGAAGGGCCUUUGACUUAUAACAUGAAGCAGCCUCCAGAGCCUCUUGGGGCAAGUGAUGGUCAAGGAGGCUCUGCCUAACCCCACCCUGCCCUUCCCACUUGUCAGAGGACCAGGAAUUUCAGUCUUCCAGCUCCUGGGCUGAUCUAGUGACUUGUAACAGGAUUUCUCUGGAACUGGAAGGUGUUGAAGGCAGGAAGUACUCCUGGGUUUCUUCACCCAGCUGAAUGCCUAGUUCCUGGUCUUAUUACACGGCUUACAUUCAGGAUAAGAAGAGGCAUUUGGAGCUUUACGCAUGACCUCUUAGCAGAGGUUUCUGUUCAGGAGCGAAGAGGUAAAAAGAAAGCAGUGUCUACUAAGUCCUUUUCCAAGAGUCUCAGGAAAUUCUCACGAAGACCUUCUCAGGCGGGACGCCCCUCCUGUGCUGUCCUCAGAAGGGCUCUUCAUAGACCGCACCCCUAGUUUGCGGAGCAGCAGAGCCUGCCCCAGUCUGGACUAGGGACUUUAUUUCUUCCACUCUCACCACUGGCUGAAGGCAGACUCCUGUCUCCACAGACUAAAGAGGAAUUAUCAAAAUGAGCUCGAAACUCUAGAUUUGAGUUAAGGAUCAUAAAUUAACACAGAGAAAUACAACUUUAACAACAAAGACCUGUUUGGAGUCCCAGUUGGAAUUAAAAAAAAAAAAACUUGAACAGAGGGAGUGAUAAAGUUUUCCUUCUUUUGCCACCCUCUCUCGGUGGUCCCAAGCUUUCUCAUCUCCCACCUCACAAGACUGUAUCAACUGCUUUGAGACUUUUAGAAUAAAGAUCCCCAGGCAUAUCACUGCUGUGACCCUGUGAGGAUUUCCCCAGUGCUGGGUUAGACUAAGACAGAAUCCUUCCAAGGCUUCCAGGGCCUGUGUACUGGACGGUCAGCACACGGAGCCUCAGAGCCCACUUCGUUUUUCCUGCAGUUGGGCAUGACACCAGGGACAUGACCCUUGAGAGUGCUGACACUUCCUGAAGCCAGUGACCCUCCCCCUGGGCUUCUCUCUGCCUGGGUCUCAGAGUCUCUGAGGCCAACUUGUACCCUCAGAAGUGUUUCUGCUGAAGGACACGUAAACAGCACUGUGGAUUUGUGUCCCGCAGUCUGCAAAACUGCCUCCCCUGAGUGGGGUGAGGAGCUACUGAAAUAUUGAAAUCACUGAAACUAGCAGAAGCCACAGCUCAUGGUCCUGGGAGAAAACUGGGAAGGACGGAGAGGUGAAGAGGCUAUAAAGGCCCAGUCGUGAAGGCGACCAUGGGCCAGGAUGUCCGGAAGUCGCAAAGCUGACCAAUGCUGAGUGCCCUAAAACCUGCCACUCCUGUGCCCAUCUUUUCUUUCAAUGGACAAAGUCUUCCCCUGCUCUUAUGCGCCUGGGCUGGAAGGGCCUUUGACUUACAACAUGAAGCAGCCUCCAGAGCCUCUUGGGGCAAGUGAUGGUCAAGGAGGCUCUGCCUAACCCCAUCCUGCCCUUCCCAGUUGUCAGAGGACCAGGAAUUUCAGUCUUCCAGCUCCUGGGCUGAUCUAGUGACUUGUAACAGGAUUUCUCUGGAACUGGAAGGUGUUGAAGGCAGGAAGUACUCCUGGGUUUCUUCACCCAGCUGAAUGCCUAGUUCCUGGUCUUAUUACACGGCUUACAUUCAGGAUAAGAAGAGGCAUUUGGAGCUUUACGCAUGACCUCUUAGCAGAGGUUUCUGUUCAGGAGCGAAGAGGUAAAAAGAAAGCAGUGUCUACUAAGUCCUUUUCCAAGAGUCUCAGGAAAUUCUCACGAAGACCCUCUCAGGCGGGACGCCCCUCCUGUGCUGCACUCAGAAGGGCUCUCCAGGGACCGCACCCCUAGUUUGCGGAGCAGCAGAGCCUGCCCCAGUCUGGACUAGGGACUUUAUUUCUUCCACUCUCACCACUGGCUGAAGGCAGACUCCUGUCUCCACAGACUAAAGAGGAAUUAUCAAAAUGAGCUCGAAACUCUAGAUUUGAGUUAAGGAUCAUAAAUUAACACAGAGAAAUACAACUUUAACAACAAAGACCUGUUUGGAGCCCCAGUUGGAAUUAAAAAAAAAAAAACUUGAACAGAGGGAGUGAUAAAGUCUUCCUUCUUUUGCCACCCUCUCUCGGUGGUCCCAAGCUUUCUCAUCUCCCACCUCACAAGACUGUAUCAACUGCUUUGAGACUUUUAGAAUAAAGAUCCCCAGGCAUAUCACUGCUGUCACCCUGUGAGGAUUUCCCCAGUGCUGGGUUAGACUAAGACAGAAUCCUUCCAAGGCUUCCAGGGCCUGUGUACUGGACGGUCAACACACGGAGCCUCAGAGCCCACUUCGUUUUUCCUGCAGUUGGGCACGACCCCAGGGACAUGACCCUUGAGAGUGCUGACACUUCCUGAAGCCAGUGACCCUCCCCCUGGGCUUCUCCCUCCCUGGGUCUCAGAAUCUUUGAGGCCAACUUGUACCCUCAGAAGUGUUUCUGCUGAAGGACACGUAAACAGCACUGUGGAUUUGUGUCCCGCAGUCUGCAAAACUGCCUCCCCUGAGUGGGGUGAGGAGCUACUGAAAUACUGAAAUCAUUGAAACUAACAGAAGCCACAGCUCAUGGUGCUGGGAGAAAACUGGGAAGGACGGAGAGGUGAAGAGGCUAUAAAGGCCCAGUCGUGAAGGCGACCAUGAGCCAGGAUGUCCUGAAGUCGCAAAGCUGACCAAUGCUGAGUGCCCUAAAACCUGCCACUCCUGUGCCCAUCUUUUCUUUCAAUGGACAAAGUCUUCCCCUGCUCUUAUGUGCCUGGGCUGGAAGGGCCUUUGACUUAUAACAUGAAGCAGCCUCCAGAGCCUCUUGGGGCAAGUGAUGGUCAAGGAGGCUCUGCCUAACCCCACCCUGCCCUUCCCACUUGUCAGAGGACCAGGAAUUUCAGUCUUCCAGCUCCUGGGCUGAUCUAGUGACUUGUAACAGGAUUUCGCUGGAACUGGAAGGUGUUGAAGACAGGAAGUACUCCUGGGUUUCUUCACCCAGCUGAAUGCCUAGUUCCUGGUCUUAUUACACGGCUUACAUUCAGGAUAAGAAGAGGCGUUUGGAGCUUUACGCAUGACCUCUUAGCAGAGGUUUCUGUUCAGGAGCGAAGAGGUAAAAAGAAAGCAGUGUCUACUAAGUCCUUUUCCAAGAGUCUCAGGAAAUUCUCAUGAAGACCCUCUCAGAGGUCUCUAUCCAAGAGGAAAAUGCCCAAGAGUCAACAACAUCCCAAACAAAAAGUCAAAGCUCCAGGCACAGGAAGAUUCCAAAACAAUCCGAGAGCUCUUUUCCUUCAUCUUCCACCAAGCAGACCUCUCACUCCUCUAGCUACGGGGCUACUUCAGAGAAGGGAUGGGUCAGGUGUGCACAUUUCACCCAGGUGCACACAGUCAAGGGGGUGGCGGUCGCCUGGCAGACCAAAACCUCCUUUGCACCCGUGGGCAAGAUGCCCCAGGUCUUUGAGGCCGAGCUCUCUGAGGAGAGCACCAUCGGCUCUGCCCCCAGACUGACCAACACUGAGUCCCUGGUCAGCAACCUGGAGCCCUGGCAGGAGGAGCCCCAGACCUAUACCCAGGAGCCCACCGACCAAGAGGAGGAGCAUGGGGAGAGACCCUGCGCAGCCACCCUGGAGUGGCUGGUGACCCGUGAGCACGGCUUCCGCUGCGUGGCCUGCUGUCACGUGUUCGAGUCCCGGGAGGCCCUGGUUGCGCACGCGGCGCAUGCUGUGAGCCAGGGCUUCAGUUGCGGGGUCUUCUUUGAAGAGCUGCUGGAGAGGCGGCUGCCAAGCUCAGUCCAGCGCAGGCCCCAACGCUGCCACCAGCUGGCCAGGCGUUACCUGAUGGCCUCCAAGAAGAGGGAGGUGAGGGAGAAGAGAGCGGUCUGCAGGCGCCUGGAGGAGCAGCUGGAGAAGCAGAGAGAAGAACUGAAGAGGCUGAGGCACCAGCUGGACAGGCUGCAGAGGCAGGCCAGGCCGCAGAAGGCACAGCACCAAGGCCAGAGGGGGAAGCGCCUAAAGACCUGCUAGCACCCUGGGACUAGGAGGAGCAGGGCCUUUGGGCUGGAAACACGGGCCCUUCAGGAGAGACCUCCAUUCAGGUUCGUUUAACCCAGCUCCCCUGGAAGAUCCUACCCUCCUUCCCCUCUGACCACCAGCCUUCCACCCCAAGGGCACAAAGAGCUCCAGCCCUGAGGGGGAUCUGGAUGGAAGAAGCCCCAGAUAGCUGACCACAGAUACUAGGUCCCCUCAGAGGCUCCCCUGGCCCAGAAGAGGACAGGACAGGCCUCAUCUUGAUGGUGAGAUCUUGGGACCCUAGGGAUGAGCACAGCAUAAGUAGGGAAAGGGAAAUGGGAUUUCAGUGGGACUUGGGAGGCUAAGGGGGACCCUGUUGAGGUGUGAUGGUGAAGGGGGUAUCACUGAGUUCUUUGGAGGAGAAGGAAUCAGAGAGAUGGCAGGGUGUCAGGAAACCUGCCUGCAGGUGAGCAGUGGGCAUAAAGCCCUAAACCAAGGACUCUGGGUCCCUUCCCAGCAGCAUACAGGCAGAGAAAGAGGUAGGGCUUGGCAGGAGGAGAGGAGGGCCCGGUGAAGGAAAAUGAAUUCACCCCAGCCAUGUCUUCUGGUCUCCUAGGGUGAAUUUGGGGUUCUGAUUAGGAUGCAUUGUUGUUGCCUCAUUAGGGGAAUGUAACUGGGAGAUGGUGUAGAAAAAUCCCCCUGGGUGUUAACCAUUUCUGGAUAAGAGUUGAUCCAGCGCUUGUAGGGUAUUUCUUGAAGAGUAUGUCCUCGGGUAAGAGGUAGAGCUUUGGAACUUUUUCUUCUCCUUUAAAUAAAGCUAUGCAUUCUGGUUCUUGACACGUCAAUAAAUCUUGUUAAUUUUUUUUUUUCCCCCCUGUGGUGAAAUCUGACCUGUCCCGAGGUCAAAGAACUGGAAGAAAAAGGCCCUCUGAGGUGAAAGAAGCAAAAGAGAGGAGAGGCUUCUGAACCUGGGGAGAACAGCGAGAACACAUUUGACCAGAGUUACAGAGACCAGAAGAGCUCAUUGGUUCCAAGAACAAGAAGAAAUGCACUGGAUCUCAUUAUUACUGUCUGUGGUGUGCUCUCCUUCCAGUGAUUAAAAUCUUUUGUCUGUCAUUAUAGAAAAUUUUCACCUAUUUAAAAUAUCUAAUGAAACACAUUAAAAUAUACAUGUAUCUAUGAUGUUUAUCAAUUUCCAAAGUUCUGAAAUUGUUUUUUAUUACAUUUGCAAGAUUACAGAUUUGUAUGACAAAAAAGUUCCAUCAGGGUCCCACCCUCAUAUGUAAUUUGCUCCCACUCCCCCAAGGUAUCCAAUGUUAAUAGACACAUGUGUAUCCUUCCCCACACCUCUCUGCUGGGACACAUAUACACAGUCACAGGUACACAAGUACAUCUGCUGGGAUGUUUGCUGUUAUGGAGACUUCGUCUCACUCUACCCACAUUGCUCUCGCCCCUUCUUUCACUUGACAUGCUACCUUGAUUCUCUGUAAGUCAUUAGAUAUGGCACUAACACUAUAUUUUGGGGUCUUUAAUUUACAUGAAUAAUUUAAAUAGAUGGUAUCAACUCAGUACACUUUAUCUGGACUUCUACAUGUUGUUGUUAGAAGCUAUCAAGUCAGUUCUGACCCACGGUGACCCUAGGCACCACAGAACAAAACUCGGCCCCGUCAUUGCAAUCCUAAUAAUCGUUGCUAUAUUUAAGCACACUGUUGCAGCCACUGUAUCAAUCUCAUUGAGGGUCUUCCUCUUUUUCCCUGGACCUCUGCUUUACCAAGCAUGAUGUCCUUUUCCAGGGACUGGUCCCUCUUGAUAAGAUGUCCAAAGCCAUCCUUACUUCUAAGGAAUAUUCUGGCUUUCUCUGCUUAAGACAGAUUUAUUCGUCCAUACAUAACACUACUAAUACGGAAGCAUUAUCAUCCAUGCUUUUUAAGUCCACUCUUCCUGCAUGUUCUAAUUCUCCUCCUCCUGUUCUUUCCCACAAGUGAAUCCAAGGUAAUUCAGGUUAACAAUGUAGUAAGUCGUCUCUCCUAUCCUUGCUUAAACAAGCACACACAGACAUACAUGUAUCCUCAUCUUAUCAUUUAUACACACACAUAAACAUCAACAGGUAUUCAAGCAUAUUCAAACAAUUGAUAUUGUUUAACCCAGAUGUGCUCAUUUUAUAUACACUUCUCUGCACCUUGAUUGUUUCAGUAAUACUUCCAUAAUACUUCAUAGAGAUUUCUCCCACUCAACUACUACAACUCUUUUUCAUUCUAAGGACUCCCUGUUUUAUUGAUGAUGUAGCUUUACCAUAAGUUCUCUAUCAUUCCACCAUCAAUGGACAAAGUUUGGUCAUAUUAAUAAUAACUAUCCUUUCUAUAAUAUAGGAUUUGUUUCUGUGGAAUAGACUCCACAGAGUGAGAUUUCCAAUUCAAAGAAUGUUAAAAGUACAGAGCCACGGCCAUGUCUCUCCACUAGAGGCUGCCAUAAUGCACCUUUCCAGCCACGUCUCAGGGUAUCCUUCUCUCCACAGCCCAGCCAGCCAUAGGUGGUGCUGAUUUUCCAAUUCUGCCAGUUUCACUGGCAGUUUGAUAUUUUCUUAACUUGGGCUAUGUUUACUGGGCAUGUGGAUUUGCUCUGAAUGAACUGUUUGAAUUCACUGCUCAUUGUUCAAGUGCUUAACUUUUAUCCUUCUGUGUAAAAUGGAAAUUGUUAUUAAGCCUUGUCCUCUCCAUUUCACAUGAUUUUCCAAAUCUAUCAUUUGUGUAUCACAUUUUUGCAAGUUUGACCCCCAGAACAAUCACUUGAGUCAGCACCAUUUAUUAAAUAAAUAUAAUUUUCUUGAAAUGCUACCUUUGUAAGUUAUUGUGACUUCUUAACAGAUUUUCUGUUUCAUUGGUCUACUUGUCA